UGAACCAGUGAGUUCGUCUUUAAGUUCUGAACAAGUCUCCUGAAGGAAUCGAAGCGAAAGGAGGACAUUUUUACGUUGAUCGGAGCUUCGCCAGUUUCUGCAAAUUCUCGCCGGUUUCUGGAAAAAUUCCGGCCACCUCGACUGUUUUAGGUGAUUGACGGUCUCCCUUGGGUGAGCGGUUUCGGUGUGUAUUGUGUUGAAUUGAAGACGCAGCGGGAAUAUCGAGCGGAUAAUCCUACAGGACUGGAGAAUUCAGGAAGGUGAUCGAACCGUGUAGAGUAGCUGCUUUGUAAUACUCUGAUUUUCAGUUGUGAGGUUUGUUAUGCUCAUUAGAGCUUUACAAUUUACUUUGUACGAGUGAGUUGUAAUAAUUAACUCGAGGUCUUCGAGUUUUGAAUUUGAGCGUGAGUGGCGAGGUUGUUUCUGAGAAAAAAAAAUUCAGAACGUUUAUUUGUUUAAGUUGUUUAAUUCA